rnacentral:rRNA from 1 species
UACACUCCUGCGGGAGGCAGCAGUGGGGAAUAUUGGACAAUGGGGGCAACCCUGAUCCAGCCAUGCCGCGUGAGUGAUGAAGGCCCUAGGGUUGUAAAGCUCUUUUGUGCGGGAAGAUAAUGACGGUACCGCAAGAAUAAGCCCCGGCUAACUUCGUGCCAGCAGCCGCGGUAAUACGAAGGGGGCUAGCGUUGCUCGGAAUCACUGGGCGUAAAGGGUGCGUAGGCGGGUCUUUAAGUCAGGGGUGAAAUCCUGGAGCUCAACUCCAGAACUGCCUUUGAUACUGAGGAUCUUGAGUCCGGAAGAGGUGAGUGGAACUGCGAGUGUAGAGGUGAAAUUCGUAGAUAUUCGCAAGAACACCAGUGGCGAAGGCGGCUCACUGGUCCGGUACUGACGCUGAGGCACGAAAGCGUGGGGAGCAAACAGGAUUAGAAACCCCAGUAGUCCCAUGAU